AUACGUAGGUGGCGAGCGUUAUCCGGAUUUACUGGGCGUAAAGCGUACGUAGGCGGUUCGGCAAGUCUGUCGUGAAAUCUCCCGGCUCAACUGGGAGCGGCCGAUGGAAACUGCCGGACUUGAGGGACGUAGAGGUGAGCGGAAUUCCCGGUGUAGUGGUGAAAUGCGUAGAUAUCGGGAGGAACACCAGUGGCGAAAGCGGCUCACUAGGCGUUACCUGACGCUGAGGUACGAAAGCGUGGGGAGCGAACCGGAUUAGAAACCCGGGUAGUCC
rnacentral:rRNA from 1 species